AGCAAAGCCAAAGCUGUGUUCACAAACUAAAGGACUAGUAAUAUCAGCAGAGCAAUUGGUACUCAAGUUGUACACAUGAGCAAAGCCAGGUACCUGCAACUGGAUUUUUGUAGAAACUGCUUUGGCCUUCCAUUAGUCUUCCUCCCCACUGCAAGGAGCGAUGUCUUCGUCCUCCAGCCCAAAAGGUUGUUCUUGUUGUUGCCAGGUGAAAACAGUAGCAGUCUGCACCCUGAAUGGAGCCAAAAGGAAUGGAAGCUGCCUCAUCACAAGACUUGAAUAGCAGUUCCCCAACCCUAGACCUUCAUAGAGGACUUUUUCUCAUGUCUGCUGGAGACCACCUUCAACAUGGAACUGAAAAUGCCUCCUCUUAGCAUCUUUAUUUUUCUGUGUCAAAGCAGAUUAUUUUGCAUGUUUUAUCUUCAGACUAUUUACCCGUAAAUUAUGCACCAUGUUACUGUUGGUGAUUGUUGUAAACAUCAUUGUCAAUGUUUUUUUGUGUUGUUUACUUCAAUUUUCAAUAAAGACACAUUUUCUGUA